AACAUCGAUGUCCUGACAAGUUAGUGCUGAGCAGGCAGAAAGGAGGGAGAGGACGAAUGCUUUGCCUUCCGCGCAAUGCAAAAAAAUGUUCCCAAAACAGCAUCAUCCCACUCAUUGUUCAAGGUCACCAGACUGUGCAUGCUCAAAACGGGACUCAAGACUCCCAAAUCCCAGUGUCUGAUUAAUUGUCCUUUGACUAAAACAAUGAAAAUAAAAUGGGUUAGCAAAAGGUAUUGCUCCAGGCCCAAAAGUUCAGAAAGCAAGCACACCCUCAAGGAAAGUAGGAUUUUCUUUAAUUAGGCUGACGUUGAAUGCCUCCUUAAUAAUGCUGUAAAUGUGAAAUUGUCAUUGGCACGGUAGGUAUAUUGGUGAUUUUUUAUCAUGCCAGUUAAAAGGUAGUGAGUAUCACUGUGCUGGGUUCCUGGCACUGGGCAAGGCAUUUCCCCCACAUUAUGUGAUUUAACCCUCACAAGUACCUGGGGGGUAUCAUGGCCACUAUUUUACUGAUGGUGCUAAAACUGAUUAUAGUUCUUUGCUUGAUGUGUAAGUGGUAGAACUGGGAUUCAAGUCUAGGUUUCUAACUUCCGUGUUUCAGAACCACUUAACUGCCUUUUUAAAAUAGCAUCUUAUUUUGUGUAUUCAUAUCUGGGUCGACUACUGUAAAGUGUAAGUUCCUAGAUGAGAAAAACUAUGAGCUGAAGCAGAGCUUUCUUUGAAUUACCUACUUGCCAUAUUUCGCCUAAAUAUGAAGGUAGUGGGGUUGGUCGUGAAAUACUAGCAUCCGUCGCUUUUAAUUAAAUAGUGCACAUGUUCGUAAAUAAACUCUCUGUGAGGAAGACAAUAUAUACCCUGAUAUUUCAAAUGCAUUGAGAUGUCCAGACAUAAAAUAGUUUGGGUCUUAUAAGAGGAAAAUAUUGGUUUGAAAAGUUGGAAGGUUAAAGAUGUUAGUCCACAGGUGACUCGGUGCUAAGUGCACAUUGACAAAGCAGGAAGAGGGAAAUUAAUUUAGUUAGCAUCUAAGUUGGAGGAUGUGGAUGCCAACCUCUCUUAAAGUAGAGGAAAAAGACAUAAUAUCAUCUUUUCUCUACAUUUUUCUCUUUCUUUUUGAAAAAAGGAAAGAUAUGGGGAUAGGAAAAGCAAGUUAAAAGUGCUAGUAACACACAGAUGUAGAGAACAAAUGUAUGGACACCAAGCGGGGGAGGAGGGGUGUGAUGAACUGGGAGAUUGGGAUUGACAUAUAUACACUAAUAUGUAUAAAACAGGUAACUAAUUAGAACCCGCUGUAUAAAAAAAUUUAAAAAAUAGAAUUCAAAUAUUCCAAAAAAAAAGUGCUAGUAAUAAUAAAGAUGAAAAAUGGAUUGCACCUGCCCUCAGGGAUCUCACGGUCCAGAAGUGGAAGCAGACACAUUAACAAAACAGUAUGAGAGAUGAAAAAUAGGAACAGGUACAAGGCACAGAAAUAGGGUAGAGGGGACGCAAUUACCUAGAGAGAGAAGGAAAAGGUGAGGAAAAGCGUCACAAAGGAGGAAAACUUGAGCUGGAAUUUAAAGACUUUGACUAAGUGCAUAAUGGAGGGAAAAAGAAAACUCUGUACAAAGGCACAGAGCAUGAAAUGAGCUGACAUUUUGGGGCCCAGAAGGAAUCUGAUAUUGCUGGAGGAGAGAGCAGACAGGCUAAGUGUGGAGAGAUGAACUGGCGAAGUAGUUAGGAGGCUGGGUCUAGAAUGUGGUGUGGUGAGCCACUGAUGGGUUUUCAAAAGCGGAUUUGAGUUUCCAAAAAGUUACUCUUGCGGUGCUGUCAAGAAUGAAUGGUUGGUCAUCUGAUCAACAAAAUGAAAAGCCAGUUGUUUCAAAAAAGUAAUUAAAUAGACAAACUCCUGCAUGAUUGGUUUUUUUUUAAGAGGCAGAACUAAACAGUACUAGAUAUGAACAGGGACAUUGAAGCAGAAAAAAGUAAAUAUUUAAAAAUCAUAAGGGAAUCACGUGAACAACUUCAGAGCAAUAUAUUUGAAACCUUAGAUACACCAUACAAUUUUUAGACAGCAUAAAUUAUGGAAAUAAACUUGAGAAGAAAUUGACACUGAAUAAACCCAUAACCAGUAAGGGGAAAAAAUUAACUCCACAGUCAAAAGUACACCACAAAGACUACUAGCUCCAGAGGAGUACGUGGACAAUUUUUUCCCAAAACUUCAAGGAAGAAAUAAUAACCCCUCACAAAUAACCAUUCUAGGGAAUAGAAAAUGAGAGAAAACUUGCCAACAUGUUUUAUAAAGUCAUUAUAAUCCUGAUGUCAAAGCCAGAGAAGGACAAAAUAAGAAUCAAUCUCACAUAUGGACAAAGAAGCAGAAAUACUGAAUAAAUGUAAGCAAGAAAUCCGAAAUAAGUGUGUAUAUAUAAAUGUCAUAUAAAGUAUAUUUUACAUGGCAUGCAAGAAUUGUUUAACAUUAGAAAAUCAAUCUUAUAAUUUAUCACAUUGACAUAUUACAAUUCAUAAUGGGAAACAUUCAGGGAAAUUCGACACCUGUUCAUAAUUUUUAAAAAAAUCUUUGCCAACUGGUAUGAAUCAUAGCUCCAUGACUUAUUCGUUAAUAAAUUUUAAUUCAGGUAAGAAAAUCUAAGCUUUGUACAAAAAAGGAAAUGAGUGGAUGAGAAGAGGAAAGAGAAUGGAGGCAAAGAGAACAAUUAUGAGGUCAUCAUGACAAAUCCAGGUAUGAGACACAGCCUUCAGAGGCUGGAGGAAAGUCCUGAUGGUAGAGGCAGAGGGGAGAGCAGAUUUCAGCCAUAGUUAGGAGGAAGACCGAUAGAAGCUGCUGACUGACUGGGCGUGGGAGGAGGGUCGUAAUGAGGAGACAGGCGUUCAUUAUGACUCCUGGCUUUCUGCACUAGGUGGCUGUGUGGAUGGCUGGAUGCAGUGGACCCAGUGGACAAGACUAUAGAGCAUGGAGGGCCACCUUGAAAGCAGUCACAACCUACAGAAGGCAGCAUCAGGCAGCUGCCAACGAGUUUUGUUAAGAGUAAGAUCAGGGUUUCCCUACGAGAAUGACGAUGACUUCACUGGGCUUUAAGGAAAUUCAUUCAGGUGUGGAGUUGGGUGGAAAGUGCCAGAAAAGUAUGAGUGACCCAGCUAGAGUUUGGUAAUUAUUUCAUAACUGCCUGGUGCUUAAACCUUUGGGACACCAGAUCACAGAUUGUAUUACCUAAGGACCAAACCCAGAUCAGAGGGAGAAUGUACUAGAACCCUUUGCCAGGAGCAAUCUCCUGCUGAAACCAUCCAAGUGGCAGGAUCCACAGCAGGACAAAGGAACUUUUGAAAGGGACUUGAAAAAGAGUUCAGUUACUCUGUGGUUAACCCAUCAAAGCCGUCUUCCUGUAACCCAGAGGACAGCAGGCCUCGACAUGUGCCGGCCAUUUGGAAAACAGAGUCAUAUGGAGUAGAUCAAACAUUUCAGGAGAGCCCCUUGCCUUGAAAACACGGACCCUUAUGAAAAUCAUUAAGCAAUUGGUUGUUAUUUAUUUGCUUACACUGUGCUUCAGCAAAGCAAGCAGGAAGAUGAGGAUAAGAACCACUGAGCCAGUUUCAGAGGCCCUAGUUCAGGAAAGAAGGAUUCCCUUACACCCCUGAUUUUAAAGAGCCUUUUACGAAGACAUCCUACCACACGGCUGGCCUAGGGAGGCUGUCUUGGCUCCCUUCGACUGUGUAUUAGGUUAACAACCACCUCAAGCUUCUUAGAAACCUAGAAAUCCCCAGGCUGUUAGAGGAAUUCCACAGGGCUAAGAAAACGCUUGCAAUCUCAGCACUGGAAGCAGAAAACUAUUUCCAAACAUCGUCCUUUCUCACUCUGUGGCACUCUGUGUAACCCACUCCCAGCCUCAGAAAACCUGGGCGGCUCCACAGCACACCCGCAAAUCUGUCCUUCUUAAUGAGCCAAGCACUCUUCGUUCAUGGCUUGGAUCCGUGGACCUGGGAACGAACAAGGAGCAAGUCCGUAUUUUCACUUGGGGAGUUACCAGCCUCUGUGCUGACCCCUCCUGCGAGAAGGCAACCAUCUACCUUGGUACCCACCCUCAUCAAUGUAUCUGGAGGGCUACUUUCAAGGGGAUCCUUUCCUU